UUCACGUUCAUCACUAACACAGUUACGACAUGACCACCUAAUGAGAUUAUCUUGUUCUGUGGUUGGUUGUCCUGUCUCUCAUUUCACUACAUUCCAUACACCGUUUUGUUUGGUGUCAAAGUUACUGAUUUCUGACAUUAUGUAUGCCACCUCAGUCCUAAUGGAAUAUAAUGUCCUAGAAAGUAUCCCAGAUAGUAUUCAAAACAUCAAAAAACCUUGAAUCCUGGUUUUAUCAAAGUGGACUGAAAAUGAAUGUAACAAAGACCCAUGUGAUGCAGUUUAGAGCUAAAAUACCAGAAACAGUUGAAAAUAAAAUAACUCAGAAUGGCCAGGAAAUGACAGAAGUAAGCCAUGCUACGUUUUUGGGGCCAAGUCUAGACAAAUAUUUUUAAUUGGAAGGCACAAGUAGAUGUCAUAGCAAACAAUUUAAAUAGUCAAACUUUGCAAUGUGUGGUUUAUCUGACGUGUCCCACAGAAGCAAAAAUGUGUCUCACAGAUACUUUGAAUUGGUUGUUGGGUAUAUUAUAACCUUCUGGGAAAAUUCAACCAACAACUUUAGACUUCUGAUGCUUCACAAGAAGAUCAUCAAAAACAGUUUGUUUCAGGUUGCUGUUGUUUAAAUGUUAAUGAAAACUCUGAAGCAAGUAGGAGUCAGUUCCUUCUGAGCGACACAGGUGUUAACAGACUGAAAUCUUCAGUCAUCACCACCAGUGAAUUCUACAUAACAGUGGAAAAUAACAUAAGGACAAAUUAAACAAUGUGUACUGCAUUUAGCUAGUUAUUUACGUGUUCCAGAGAAUGUUUGUAUGAUAUUUAAUUAUAACAAGGCAUUGGUCAGUUGACAGGUUAAAGAAGUGGCUACAUGAUGCCCAUGUACUGAAUUUGUGUAAUAGUAAAAAUAUUUAGGUUAUUAGCAGAAGAAA